rnacentral:misc_RNA from 1 species
UCUCCGUUGGUGAACCAGCGGAGGGAUCAUUACCGAGUUUACAACUCCCAAACCCAAUGUGAACCAUACCAAACUGUUGCCUCGGCGGGGUCACGCCCCGGGUGCGUCGCAGCCCCGGAACCAGGCGCCCGCCGGGGGGACCAACCAAACUCUUUCUGUAGUCCCCUCGCGGACGUUAUUUCUUACAGCUCUGAGCAAAAAUUCAAAAUGAAUCAAAACUUUCAACAACGGAUCUCUUGGUUCUG